rnacentral:rRNA from 1 species
GUCUACAGCCAUACCACCCUGAACGUGCCCAAUCUCGUCUGGUCUCAGAAGCUAAAUAGCUAGGAUUACAGGUGUGAGCCACCGGCGCUGGGCUGUGGUAG